AGGUGACUGCUGCAGGGUCACAGAGCUUGUUCAGGCAGAAAAACUUCUCUUGGAUUUUCACCAAAACAUCAUGAUGCUGAAAAGAUUUGGACUCUCGAGCUGGAGAGACCUCAGAGAGAAUCCUUGUGCCACUACUUUCAGGACCUUUGGUACUUUCCACAAUCUGGGAUUUCCUCUCUGGCAUCGACCUUUGUCUCACCCUGCACCACAGGAAUUUUUCCCAUGCUUGACAAUCCUAUCUCCAUAUUUGGAGAUUCCAGAAAAGUGUUUCUUCUUGCUUCUUCUGUUAAGAAUUUAUACAGUCUAACAGAACUUUUGUUAGGAAUUUAUAGUCUAAGAGAGAACCCAGCUAUAAUAUUAAUAACACAUCUCCUAGUAGAGUUGUAAGAUCAUUCUUGAAGUUUGAAUUGUCACCUUGCAUAACAUAAAUCGUUUUCCUACCAGAUUAAUUAUUUAAGUUCUUAACUUUUUUGUUUUAAAAAACUUUCAAAUUUAUAGAAAGAGUUGCAAGAAUAGUACAAAGAACUCCCACAUAGACUUUGCUCAGAUUGAUUAGAUUCACAAAUCCUGCCACAUUUGCAUCUGUCUCCACACACACCCACACACACACACACACACACACUCACACACACACAUCUUUCCUGCUCUAUUUGAAAGUUGGUUCUAGACAUCAUGCCCUUUCAACUUUCAAUUCUUCAGCAUGUAUUUGCUAAAAACAAGUACAUUAGCUUAGCUAAGCACAGUGCAAUUACAAAAGUCAAGAAAUCUAACUGACAUAAUCAAUAUUCAAAUAUAACCUGCAAUCCAUAUUUCUACAAUCCAUUUUCAAAUUGUAUCACUUGUGCCAAUAAUAUCUUCUAUAGAUAAUAUUUCUCC
ensembl:lncRNA novel transcript, antisense to ITPR2